AUUUUUUUUUCUUUUUGCAACUUAAUAGUUUAGUCCUUGAAAUUUCUAUAUUUACAUAUAGGUCCUCCAAUUUACAUAUAAAUCCUUAUUAAUAAUUUUCAAAUGUGAAGGAUAUUACACUCUCCCCCCCUUAAAAGAAAAUUUAGUCCUCUAAAUUGGUCAUAGCUCAAUCGAUGAAAAGAUGAGGAUUAUGAUUUCUUUAUUUCCUCCUCCUACUCUCAAAUAAUUUCAUCAAUAUAAUACAAUUACAUAAUUAUCCAAGAGUAACCGAAAUAUCCUCCUCCUUGAUCCUCAAUAGAUGGUAACCCGACCUUCAAUCAAUCUUUGAAAAUACUUGUGCACCUU
rnacentral:lncRNA from 1 species